UACAGAGGUCUCGAGCGUCGUUCGGAUUCAUUGGGCGUAAAGGGUGCGUAGGUGGCGCUGUAAGUCAGGUGUGAAAUUUCGGAGCUUAACUCCGAAACUGCAUUUGAUACUGCGGUGCUUGAGGACUGGAGAGGAGACUGGAAUUUACGGUGUAGCAGUGAAAUGCGUAGAGAUCGUAAGGAAGACCAGUGGCGAAGGCGGGUCUCUGGACAGUUCCUGACACUGAGGCACGAAGGCCAGGGGAGCAAACGGG
rnacentral:rRNA from 1 species